CAAUAGCGUAUAUUUAAGUUGUUGCAGUUAAAAAGCUCGUAGUUGGAUUUCGGUUAAGAGCGACCGGUCCGCCGUUUGGUGUGCACUGGUUGGUUUUAACUUCCUGUAGAGGACGUGCUCUGGGUUUAACGACCUGGACUCGGAGUCUACGUGGUUACUUUGAAAAAAUUAGAGUGUUCAAAGCGGGCUUACGCUUGAAUAUUUCAGCAUGGAAUAACACUAUAGGACUCCUGUCCUAUUUCGUUGGUCUCGGGACGGGAGUAAUGAUUAAGAGGAACAGUUGGGGGCAUUCGUAUUUCAUUGUCAGAGGUGAAAUUCUUGGAUUUAUGAAAGACGAACUUCUGCGAAAGCAUUUGCCAAGGAUGUUUACAUUAA
rnacentral:rRNA from 1 species